rnacentral:rRNA from 1 species
AGUCUCUGGAUAUAGACCCGAAACCGAGUGAUCUAGCCAUGGGCAGGUUGAAGAUUGAGUAACAUCAAUUGGAGGACCGAACCGACUAAUGUUGAAAAAUUAGCGGAUGACUUGUGGCUAGGGGUGAAAGGCCAAUCAAACUCGGAGAUAGCUGGUUCUCCCCGAAAGCUAUUUAGGUAGCGCCUCGGACGAAUACUACUGGGGGUAGAGCACUGUUAAGGCUAGGGGGUCAUCCCGACUUACCAACCCUUUGCAAACUCCGAAUACCAGUAAGUACUAUCCGGGAGACACACGGCGGGUGCUAACGUCCGUCGUGGAGAGGGAAACAACCCAGACCGCCAGCUAAGGUCCCAAAUUACUACUAAGUGGGAAACGAUGUGGGAAGGCUCAGACAGCCAGGAUGUUGGCUUAGAAGCAGCCAUCAUUUAAAGAAAGCGUAAUAGCUCACUGGUCGAGUCGGCCUGCGCGGAAGAUGUAACGGGGCUAAGUAGUAAACCGAAGCUGCGGCUGCAAUCGUAAGAUUGUGGGGUAGGGGAGCGUUCUGUAAGCCGUUGAAGGUGUGUUGUAAAGCAUGCUGGAGGUAUCAGAAGUGCGAAUGCUGACAUGAGUAACGAUAAUGGGGGUGAAAAACCCCCACGCCGGAAGACCAAGGGUUCCUGUCCAACGUUAAUCGGGGCAGGGUAAGUCGACCCCUAAGGCGAGGCUGAAAAGCGUAGUCGAUGGGAAACGGGUUAAUAUUCCCGUACUGCUUAUAAUUGCGAUGGGGGGACGGAGAAGGCUAGGUGGGCCUGGCGACGGUUGUCCAGGUUCAAGUGCGUAGGCUAAGAGACUAGGUAAAUCCGGUUUCUUGUUAGGCUGAGACACGACGUCGAGCUACUACGGUAGUGAAGUCAUUGAUGCCAUGCUUCCAGGAAAAGCCUCUAAGCUUCAGAUUAUAAGCAAUCGUACCCCAAACCGACACAGGUGGUCGGGUAGAGAAUACCAAGGCGCUUGAGAGAACUCGGGUGAAGGAACUAGGCAAAAUGGUACCGUAACUUCGGGAGAAGGUACGCUCUUGGCGGUGAAGUCCCUAGCGGAUGGAGCUACUGAGAGUCGCAGAUACCAGGUGGCUGCAACUGUUUAUUAAAAACACAGCACUGUGCAAAAUCGUAAGAUGACGUAUACGGUGUGACGCCUGCCCGGUGCCGGAAGGUUAAUUGAUGGGGUUAGACUUCGGUCGAAGCUCUUGAUCGAAGCCCCGGUAAACGGCGGCCGUAACUAUAACGGUCCUAAGGUAGCGAAAUUCCUUGUCGGGUAAGUUCCGACCUGCACGAAUGGCGUAAUGAUGGCCACGCUGUCUCCACCCGAGACUCAGUGAAAUUGAAAUCGCUGUGAAGAUGCAGUGUACCCGCGGCUAGACGGAAAGACCCCGUGAACCUUUACUACAGCUUGGCACUGAACAUUGAACCUACAUGUGUAGGAUAGGUGGGAGACUUAGAAGCGCAGUCGCUAGAUUGCGUGGAGUCGUCCUUGAAAUACCACCCUUGUAGUUUUGAUGUUCUAACGUUGGCCCCUAAUCGGGGUUGCGGACAGUGCCUGGUGGGUAGUUUGACUGGGGCGGUCUCCUCCCAAAGAGUAACGGAGGAGCACGAAGGUGGGCUAAACACGGUUGGACAUCGUGUGGUUAGUGCAAUGGCAUAAGCCCGCUUAACUGCGAGAAUGACAAUUCGAGCAGGUACGAAAGUAGGUCAUAGUGAUCCGGUGGUUCUGAAUGGAAGGGCCAUCGCUCAACGGAUAAAAGGUACUCCGGGGAUAACAGGCUGAUACCGCCCAAGAGUUCAUAUCGACGGCGGUGUUUGGCACCUCGAUGUCGGCUCAUCACAUCCUGGGGCUGAAGUCGGUCCCAAGGGUAUGGCUGUUCGCCAUUUAAAGUGGUACGCGAGCUGGGUUUAGAACGUCGUGAGACAGUUCGGUCCCUAUCUGCCGUGGGCGUUGGAAGAUUGAAGGGGGCUGCUCCUAGUACGAGAGGACCGGAGUGGACGAACCUCUGGUGUUCGGGUUGUUACGCCAGUAGCAUUGCCCGGUAGCUAAGUUCGGAAUCGAUAACCGCUGAAAGCAUCUAAGCGGGAAGCGAGCCCUGAGAUGAGUCUUCCCUGGCACUUUAAGUGUCCUAAAGGGUUGUUCGAGACUAGAACGUUGAUAGGUUGGGUGUGUAAGCGCUGCGAGGCGUUGAGCUAACCAAUACUAAUUGCCCGUGAGGCUUAACCAU